UCAGCAAGAGAAUGAAAUUAUCAUCAACAAAAUUGCGGGCUGUGAUGAGCAAAUAUGUAUGUCUCCAAUGUUGCCUCUACAUAAUCCACCCCUGACAGAAGGAAUAGAUCCUAAAGUCUUUAUUGCUACAGCAUUGGACAGGUGAGAACUGUGGGAAGUUGACCGACUUGCUAAGUUAACUGGUUGUCAAUUUUCUAGUAUGUUUCGUACUCAGAAUACAACACAUGUUAUCCUAAAAACAGAGAAGAAAAUGUUCCUAGACGGCCAUAGAGCGGUAGUCACUGAAUAUUUCAAGGAUGCAAUAGUAUGUGGCGUGGCACCAAAAAUUCAAACGUGUAAAGUGCAAACAAAAAUUCCCAUAUUGAAUACUCGCACUUGGUAGUUGUGGUUGCUGAGCGAAAAAGGAAGUUAAGGAAAAUAUCUAAACGACAAAAAUAAUCCAAAAUCUAUGGUGUUGGUGCUUUUGACAUCUAAGAAACUCUCUAUGCUAAACAUUUUAUCAUCAAUUCUAUUGUAAGCGUUCAUGACUGGUCGAACAGUUUUUUAUAGGAAUCUAAAUUGUGCAUCGUAGAUUAGUUUUACUACAUUCAAGUAUGAUAAUGUUUGGUCAUAUAUUACUCCUUCAUCAUGGAGAGACAAGGCAACAUCGA